AUUGAACGCUGGCGGCAUGCCUUACACAUGCAAGUCGAACGGUAACAGGUCUUCGGAUGCUGACGAGUGGCGCACGGGUGAGUAAUACAUCGGAACGUGCCCGAUCGUGGGGGAUAACGGAGCGAAAGCUUUGCUAAUACCGCAUACGAUCUACGGAUGAAAGCAGGGGACCGCAAGGCCUUGCGCGGACGGAGCGGCCGAUGGCAGAUUAGGUAGUUGGUGGGAUAAAAGCUUACCAAGCCGACGAUCUGUAGCUGGUCUGAGAGGACGACCAGCCACAGGGGAACGGAGACGCGCCCAAGACUCCUAGGGGAGGCAGCAGUGGGGAAUUUGGGACAAGGGGGGAAAGCCGGACCCAGCCAGGCCGCGUGAAGGAUAAAGGCGUUGGGGUUGAAAACUGCUUUUGCAGGGAAGAAAAAGAUUCUUUCUAAAAAGGAGGGUACAGGACGAUACCGAAAAAAAAAGCACCGGCUAACUACGUG
rnacentral:rRNA from 1 species